ensembl:lncRNA
UGAUUAUUUAUUUUUGGACCCUGGUAAGUUCUUGAGGUCGACUGUACGAUGUCAGCUCAGAAAAUACACAGAUAAUAGGCCUACAACAGGGGGCGACAUUGUGGCCAUUCAGGAUUUUAGUUUGCAAAUUUAAAAGAAAACGUUCCCGACCUGCACCGCGGCUAAGGCAGAGCCUGACGGUUAUUAAAAAUGAUCAAAAAAAUAAUUAUAAAUUAUUGAAACAAAUAAUUCAACAAUGGAUAACUAGAAUAGCUUAUGUUAACCAGCGUGCAAUAAAUCCGUUUGUGAAAAAAAAUAUUUUUCACUGAGAAAAAUUUAUAUUUAUUUUUUUAUCUGUCCCGUGUCAUCACAGUGGUAGAGCUGCUGCAGUGGAACAUUGGCGCCAUUUUCAAACUUCAGAGCCUCAGUGACUGGAACUCUUGUAACAGCUACAUUAUUUAUUUAUUUUUAAUUUUUUUCAAAUUCUUUCCUCAAGACCCUUCAUUACUUAAUUAUUAUUUUAUAAACAUUGGGAACUGGAAGAGUAUUUUCAUGAAAGGUGCAGGAGACAGACUACACUGGAAGAGGGGAGUCCGGCGGGUUACUUUGGGAAUUCCAGGCACCUUUUCCUCUCCCCUGUUGCCUAACAUGCUGGAGAACGGGGAUCGAGGGUGUGGCUUAGGAGGCCUCUUCAGCGAGUUAUUCCCAGACAGCUGUGAAUUCAGAUCCUGUAUUUGUAAGUCUAUAUUUUUGGAGAUCAGCAUUGCUUUUAACCGAUAGUGUAACUAUUCAAGCUGCUGAAUUAAUCUGCAUAUAUUUUGCAUGUUCCUUUCGCCCUCUUUCCUCCCUUGGACCACUUGAUGUCUCAGUGUGCCUGACAGCAGCAGCACAUCAAUAUUGGCAGCUGCCCUCUCCCUGGGUUGCCAGUAUGGCUUGUGCUGCUCCCGUCAGACAGACACACUCAGCGACUCUCCAGGAGCAGUAUGGAAACCACCUGUCCAGAAAUUAAAUGUUGUAUGUAUUUUACCUUGACAAAUGUCAAAAUUAAAAUGACAGCCCUUCUUGUUCAGUCUUGCCUGAAAAUGUCUAAGAGAAAAGCUUACCAUUAAAAACAACAAACAAGACCUUAUUUCAGUGAAAUUAUUUUAUUUACAGUACACACAAUGCCAGUGAGUUGUGGUUUCAGUCUGUCUCUGAUAGACCAGUGAAGUUGAAGUGUGCCGUCUUCACAUUUCUGCUUUUAGGAAUGCCAUUCAGAUACAGAUCUGAUUUUACACCAUUGCUGGUUGAUUUAAUUAGAUCAUCAGUCACACACUUAGUGAGGUUAUUAUAACCAAUGAGAAAGAACAGAGAUAUAGGCAGAAAGUGUCAUUGUGCUGUGAGAUUGUUAGUGAGGAGAUCAGGUGGACUGCAUUUUACACAAACCCUUUUCUCAAUAUUGUUUUUAUUAGUCCUGUAAAAACACCAAUUCUUUUCAAAUGCUCUUAAUGUCAAAACAUUGGUAGGGCUAAGACUAUAUGUAUAUUAAUUUGUUAACAGUUGCAAAAGUUAUUGGACUAUGCCCACAGUCCGUUUCAGAUCAGAUCGAUAAGCCCACUAGGCUAGAAUUUUAUAUAAACCAAUUAUUGAUCUAAACACCUGAAGUCAAUGUAAAACAACUUGCUUAAGCUGCAUUUAUGUAGUGGAAGAUGCAGCUGCCACACUGCUCUAAAUGCUUUCUAGAAAAAACCUGGCUGAAGAUCAUCUUGAGGUGAACCCUAAUCUAAAAGUUUCUUUUUUUGUUUGUUUUUGGUGGGAAAAAAAUGAAGAAAAUGGAAGAAUAUUAUGAGGUAAACGAAAAUGCAAAAGUACAAAAUGUCUAAGAAAAAAAACUCACCCCCCCCCAAAAAAAACAAACAAAACAAAAAACAGUGUACCAAGCAAAGCAUUUCAAGGUUGGACAUAAUCCUUUAUUGAUAAUGGUUAGAAUUUCUUUUUACACAAUAAUGUCUUUACAAUAACUUAUCUUAAAAUUAUGCAUUUUGGACCCAGAACAGAAAUAUGUAUUAAGCAAUAUUUGCUAGAAUGUUUCAAAACUGUGUCCUACAUUGAUAAAAUAUGCUUAGCUUCACUAUUAACUUAGAAAUGAGUCUGUUCCUGGAAAAAAGACAGAACUUUCUCCAGAUUAAAAAACGCAAGUUUCUUGAACCCCGCACUGAAGUGACACAUUUAGUUCCUUUUCCUGAUUGUUUGUUGCAGAAGAUUUCAACGGGAUAACAAUGGUAAGUCACUGGAAUUCAUGAUGAGACUGGAGUCGAGAUUUAGACUAUCUGCUGAGGAAAAAAUAAAUACAGAUAUUAUUUUCCCCUUUGAGAACUG